rnacentral:tRNA from 1 species
AUGCAGGGAUGGGAAUCGAACACACAGUGUUCCGCUUACCGGGCAGAUGCCAUGUCCACUAGGCUACCCUGGA